rnacentral:miRNA from 15 species
CGGGUUUCGGGGCAUCGGAACC